AUGAGGGCAAAUAAAUCCCUCGUAUAUGGCAGUGAU
rnacentral:guide_RNA from 1 species